GAUGAACGCUGGCGGCGUGCCUAAUACAUGCAAGUCGAGCGAAUGGAUUAAGAGCUUGCUCUUAUGAAGUUAGCGGCGGACGGGUGAGUAACACGUGGGUAACCUGCCCAUAAGACUGGGAUAACUCCGGGAAACCGGGGCUAAUACCGGAUAACAUUUUGAACCGCAUGGUUCGAAAUUGAAAGGCGGCUUCGGCUGUCACUUAUGGAUGGACCCGCGUCGCAUUAGCUAGUUGGUGAGGUAACGGCUCGCCAAGGCAACGAUGCGUAGCCGACCUGGGAGGGUGAUCGGCCACACGGGGACUGAAACACGGCCCAGACUCCUACAGGAGGCAGCAGUAGGGAAUCUUCCGCAAUGGACGAAAGUCUGACGGAGCAACGCCGCGUGAGUGAUGAAGGCUUUCGGGUCGUAAAACUCUGUUGUUAGGGAAGAACAAGUGCUAGUUGAAUAAGCUGGCACCUUGACGGUACCUAACCAGAAAGCCACGGCUAACUACGUGCCAGCCGCCGCAGUAA
rnacentral:rRNA from 1 species